rnacentral:tRNA from 1 species
GGGGGUGUAGCUCAGUGGUAGAGCGCUUGCCUAGUAUGUAUGAGGCACUGGGUUCUAUCCUCAACACACAUA